ACAUCGACUCAAGGUUGAGGGACUGAUUACCUCAUUCUCCUCCUGUUCUUUAAGUUUCUCCUUCGUAUGGACUGAUGAAGCCACUGUGUGGCGAAACGUUUCCUCAAUGAAGAUUCCCAAGAGUUGUAUAUGUGUGGAAAAAGACACUUAUGUACAGUUCAGGACAUUUAUUAAAGGAAACGUCCUGAACUGUACAUAAGUGUCUUUUUCCACAUCUUGUCGGUAUCACCAUACCUUUUCCUCUUAGUUGUAUAUGUGUCUAAUUUAUCAACAUUGUUCCAUUGUCUGGAAUAAUAUUAUUCCAUUAUUCUCCUCCACCACGAUGCUGUGAACACUAACUCCAAGGCCGAGGGACUGAUUACCUCAUCUUUUGUAUAUAGUUCUACUGUCUUCCUAUUAUGUCCUAGAAUCUGUAUUGAUAAAGCCACUGGAUGGCGAAACGUCUACAAUAAAGAUAUCCAGAUGUUGCACAUGUGUCUUAACUUUCAUAUUGUCGGUAUUUUAUACCUUUCUUACACAUAAACACAUAUGCAGUAUAAUGUGAUCCUUUAUUGACUGUGUGGGUGAAACGUUGUCAAUAAAGGAUCACAUUAUACUGCAUAUGUGUUUAUAUUUCCAAUGAGGGGAGACCUGAUCGAAGUGUAUAAGUGGAAGAUAGGUAUUAAUAAAGGGGAUAUUAAUAAGGUCUUGAGGAUGUCUCUCCAAGAGAGAACCCGCAGUAAUGGAUUUAAAUUAGAUAAGUUUAGAUUUAGAAAGGACACAGGAAAGUAUUGGUUUAGAAAUAGGGUAGUUGGUGAGUGGAACAGUCUACCUAGUUGGGUUAUUGAGGCUGGGACUUUGGGUAGUUUCAAAUUUAGGUUGGAUAAGUACAUGAGUGGGAGGGGUUGGAUUUGAGUGGGACUUUCACAUCAGAGCUUAUUUCUUGGGUAGCAUUGAAAAUAGGGUUGGUCAAAUGUUUUGUUAGUGGGAUGAAUUGUAAAGGACCUGCCUAGUAUGGGCCAACAGGCCUGCUGCAGUGUUCCUCUUUUCUUAUGUUCUUAAGUCCACCAUUAAAAACCAUAACAUUGUUCGUAAUAACACGACUGCAGAGAUACUAAGGGACUGAUUACCUCAUUCUCCUCCUGUUCUUCAAGAUUCUCCUUUGUAUGGACUGAUGAAGCCACUGUGUGGCGAAACGUUUCCUGAAUAAAGAUUUCCAUAUGUU